rnacentral:lncRNA from 1 species
GUCUGUGCGAAGGAAUUCCUGGAACUCAGCACACCACCCACCAGAGGCAGUGAGAAAAAGAUGAUGUGGGGCAAGUGGACCUGUGAAGAAAGGUUCUUUGGAGCAACUCCUGUUUGCAUUUUCAGGAAAUCAGCAGUCCAGUUGAUAGUUCGGCAGCAGCAGCUCAGUCCACUUGCAAACACUUCCUGGAUACACCAGAAGUCCAGUUUGGUGGUGUCGGGAUAGUAAACUCAAAUCAGCAGCAGUGGCAGGAACAGCUAGGCCUCAGCCAAAUCAGCACGAGGGCCCAGGAGGUAUGCCAGAAGUUCUCUGCUGUGCCUCUCUCAGCAAAGCUGGGAUCCUUGAAGACUUGAGACCAACAAGCACUGUACAGCCGGCUGCAGCAGCAAGCCAACCUUCACUGUCCAGCCAGUCCUAUUUACACUCCCUCCAAAUAUCCUGAGUCCUCCAUGGGUCUUGCCACAGCACAUGUCUUGCCUCAGUGCGUGGGUCUGUCUCAGCUUACAUCACUUUGUCAAUCAGCCUGAGUCUGUGGAAGCCACAAGAAACUGCAGCAUGGCAGCAGCAGUUUUUAUUUUUUUCUUUUCUUUUUUUUAAAAAAUAUUUAUUUUAUGCCUGUGAAUACACUGUUGCUCUCUUCUGAUACCUGAAGAGGACAUUGGAUCCCACUACAAAUGGUUGUUGUGAGCCACAAUGUGGUUGUUGGGAAUUGAACUCAGAAUCUUUGGAAGAGCAGACAAUGCUCUUAACCACUAAGCCAUCUCUCCAGCCCCAGGAGCACAAGUUUUUUGGUGUAUUUCUCUCUGUGGAGUCCUGACAAAUGUCUGCUUCAGCGAAAUGUUCUUUCAUGUGUCUGCUUUAGCAAAAUGUCCUCUCACCUGUGUCUGCUUCAGGAAAACACUCCCUCACAUGUUUGCCCCAGCAAACCCCCAUGUGACACAACUGACUUUCCAAAGAACCCUUAAGUUUCCACUUCACUUGACACUCUUUUGAAACUCAUUAUCCAUUCUGCUAUCCCAACAGCAGCGAUUGUUGAAAAAAUUAACCAGCACGCAAUUGCUUUUCUCACUUAUUUAUACUCGUGAGCUCAAACACAUUUGUUGGAUGUUUGCUAAGUGUGCUGUUACCUUAAAGGAACCCCGUGCAAGGUGAGCAGACUGGACUACUGUUGCUGCUUUCUUGUGCUCACAUCCUGAGGUAAGGGAGGCAGGACUUGUCCACCUGCCUGUGGUGACUGCAGGAGCCUCCUGAGCAAGAGCUGCAUUCUUGGCAGGAGUGGGGCUUCUGGUCUGCAUUUCUUUACCUUUCGGAGACCUCAGGAGAUCUGGCGGCGGAGACGCAGCACCUGCAUGGAACAGUAUAUGGUACGAAUGCUUUGGGACUCUGCUUUGGCAAGGCCCACGGAAACCCCUUUCCACUUGGUGAGGAUCUGUGGGGAAUUUGGUGGCCUCUAUGUAUAUUCCAUAGGUUUCAUGUACUACAAUCCUCUCUUUACUUUUGCCAUGCUGUCGAUACUCAUAGCUAUAUUUAAUUUUAGUUUGUUGGUCAGAGGCGAGAGCGGGAUCAUUCAUGCUAAAAGCCUUGUGUAUGAUUCUGUUUUUCUCAAUUGUGUUGAGAAAGCCUCCUCUCUUCUCUCUGCCUGUAUAGAUUCUCCAGAUGUGACCAUUAAUCCUGGGUAUUUUGGGACACAUAAUUGUAUUGCUGGAGCAAUAGCCACAGUCACACUGAGUAAGCCUCUGGUGGUUGUGGAGAGCAGUAGACUCUGCUUGCCUGUUCUGAGGAAUCUAUGUCUGAUCAGCAGAGACCUAAACUGAGGUAGCUAUGUGAUGAGAAUUGGUUCUAAUACUUUGUCUUAUUCAACUCCCAGAAUCACGUGAGAAUUUGCAUGUUCGGGCUCUAAAGGAAGCCUGCCCCCAGUUGGCUUUGAUUGGGAAUAAAGUGGCCAAAGGUGACUGGCUUGGCAUGGUGAAACAAGCAGGAGUUUUAGAUUGCAUAGGUAAAAACUGAGGUAGAAGGAGGAGAAGAGAAUUGCCAUGGCUCGGGGGCAGAAGGAUCAGAUGUAAGAGCUGCAAGAGAGAAGUCAUCCAGCAAUGUAAGUGGAAAGGGAAAGCAGCCCUAUAGGUGGGUGGGUGGACUGCUCAGAAGGUCACAGGGCAACAAAGAUAAAAUAUAGAUUUAGAAAGUGUGAAGCAUGGAAUACUGGAGGGGAGUCUGUGAUAGCCCUGGGGAGGUUUAGAAGUGACCCAUUAAUAUAAAAUUAGCUGGUGUGUGUGUAUGUGUGUUUCAUUUUCGAAUCCAGAGCUCUUGGGCAGGUGCAACGCACGGGCAACCUGCCUGGAGCCAAAGCAGAUUAACAAUUCACUGCUACAGCUAUGCAUCAUCUACAGAAAUUAAACGCGGUUCCUGGAAAGAUGAUCUCAGGAAUUGAUAGGCGCUUAUCAGGAAAGGUCGCUGAGAACAAUGAGUGUCUUUCUACAAUUAAAAAGUAUUAGAGUAUUGUGACACAGGGGUGAUAUGUGAUAACUGGACAUAUACCCCCAAAUGUUUAAUCUGUCUCUCACCUUGCAUGACUGUGUAACCACCUUUGCUACCCUCUGGGUAUGUGCUCAUGCGUCUAGGGCAUGCCUAGCUAGUCAUUUUGGGCCAGCAGGAAGCAGGAAGUGGAACUAGUGAGCGAUUUUUGUAAUGAUGGGGUUUUUAUAAAGCUAAUGUAAUGAUUUAAUAAAUAACCAAUCAUGUCACUGCUUGAGUGAGCAGGAUUGUGAUUGGAUAAAGAUGGCUCAAGCUAUUUGGGACCACUUGCUUGAAAGUCAACAGGUGAUCAGUGUCUUCAUUUGUGCCAAUGUACCUUUCCUGUCUUAGGACCUGAACCUUGUUGCUGGACCUGGCCAUUGGCAGAAAUCUUACCGGCCAUAGAGGCCAGAGCCCAUACUCACUGUGUCCAGAGACUGUAUGUUGGUAUUCCUUCUCAGAUGGGAAGGGGUCCUGUGACUUGGGAGCCAGGGAUCCACACAGUUCUCUGGUGGGACAGAAUCCUAAUGGAAGGGUAACCUGAAACACAGAAGCCCUGGAACUAAACAGUUCUGAUGUGGGGCAUUGUUCUGAUGGAAGAGUAUCCUGAAACACGGGAGACCUGGAACCACAUAGCUCUGCGAGGAAGCCUUGACAGCAGAGGUGUUACAUGGGAGAGUAUCAGGAGCCUCAUCCCUGCUCCACUUCUUAGCUUCUUCCCUUCUUUGCUUCUUUCAAUGAGAGUCACAAGCAGCAGCAAAUCUUAUAGAAGAGAUUUAUUGGUAGGAUUGAAUCCAGGGUUCGGAGGAAUAAAUCUAGGGGUGGCUGCCUUUGCUCUCAGCAGAAGGCACCAGGGAACUGAACAGUAGGGAGCUUCUAUAGCAUUUCCUAGAGUAGAGAGCGUUUCCGUGGCUGAGCUUUUCAGGGUGAGGGUUGGAGCGAUUUCAAGUUCUGAGCAUGAGGAGCUCAGGGAUUGAUGGGUUUUCCUGUUUGGGGAUUGCUGGGAUUUUUCUUCUUGUAGGGCAGAGUCUGGGCCCACUCCCACCUCAGGUUGAGAAUAGCAGUUACAGCCCUUAGAAAAUGACCACUAGAGCCAUUAGGCCAGUCUGGGAGCAGGGCCCGCUUGCUGGUGCUCCUCAGGUUGGGGCCUGGCCACAUUCCUGCCUUGGGGUCAUAUAAAGUUUACUCCCCGUUGGUGUGAAUGGCCAGCAGUGUGGGGUCAUAUUUUCCCUGUUGGAGAGCAGUGUAUUUGUCUGGCUUUCAAGUUACAGAGUCCUAAUGUCUGCUGUUCUGCUAGGUCUCUGGGUCUGCUUCCUUUGAGAUAGGAUACUCCCUCUGUCCCUGUGAUAGCUUUGCCUUACGCCUGUGUUCUACCUUGGUUUAUGCUCCAACAAGCCUGGAUACUCUUGGUUUUGUUUCAAUUUUCCAUUAUAGAAAACAAUUGUCUUUGGGGUACAGAUAAUAUGACAAAUCUAGAAAUGUAUGCUGUUUUAGCUAACCGAGAAGGCUGGCUCUAUUGUUAGGAUUUGGCAUCAGCAUCCACACAUCACACCCAACCAUGUGUGACUCUAAGGUUCUUCUGUCCUGAGUCGGUGCCCCUGAGUCUGAGACAGGUGUUGAGGGGUGGUUUUGUGCACUGUUUUUUCAGAUGUUGAUUUCUAUGCCCAGAUAUCUGGUUGCAGUCUGAACAAUGGCAUGGUCAACCAUCUCCAAUAUCUACGUUAUAUAAAAAUUGUUUUCCAUCUG